rnacentral:rRNA from 1 species
GACGAACGCUGGCGGCGUGCUUAACACAUGCAAGUCGAACGGAAAGGCCCUGCUUUUGUGGGGUGCUCGAGUGGCGAACGGGUGAGUAACACGUGAGUAACCUGCCCUUGACUUUGGGAUAACUUCAGGAAACUGGGGCUAAUACCGGAUAGGAGCUCCUGCUGCAUGGUGGGGGUUGGAAAGUUUCGGCGGUUGGGGAUGGACUCGCGGCUUAUCAGCUUGUUGGUGGGGUAGUGGCUUACCAAGGCUUUGACGGGUAGCCGGCCUGAGAGGGUGACCGGCCACAUUGGGACUGAGAUACGGCCCAGACUCCUACGGGAGGCAGCAGUGGGGAAUAUUGCACAAUGGGCGGAAGCCUGAUGCAGCAACGCCGCGUGCGGGAUGACGGCCUUCGGGUUGUAAACCGCUUUCGCCUGUGACGAAGCGUGAGUGACGGUAAUGGAUAAAGAAGCACCGGCUAACUACGUGCCAGCAGCCGCGGUGAUACGUAGGGUGCGAGCGUUGUCCGGAUUUAUUGGGCGUAAAGGGCUCGUAGGUGGUUGAUCGCGUCGGAAGUGUAAUCUUGGGGCUUAACCCUGAGCGUGCUUUCGAUACGGGUUGACUUGAGGAAGGUAGGGGAGAAUGGAAUUCCUGGUGGAGCGGUGGAAUGCGCAGAUAUCAGGAGGAACACCAGUGGCGAAGGCGGUUCUCUGGGCCUUUCCUGACGCUGAGGAGCGAAAGCGUGGGGAGCGAACAGGCUUAGAUACCCUGGUAGUCCACGCUGUAAACGGUGGGUACUAGGUGUGGGGUCCAUUCCACGGGUUCCGUGCCGUAGCUAACGCUUUAAGUACCCCGCCUGGGGAGUACGGCCGCAAGGCUAAAACUCAAAGGAAUUGACGGGGCCCCGCACAAGCGGCGGAGCAUGCGGAUUAAUUCGAUGCAACGCGUAGAACCUUACCUGGGUUUGACAUGGAUCGGGAGCGCUCAGAGAUGGGUGUGCCUCUUUUGGGGUCGGUUCACAGGUGGUGCAUGGCUGUCGUCAGCUCGUGUCGUGAGAUGUUGGGUUAAGUCCCGCAACGAGCGCAACCCUUGUUCACUGUUGCCAGCACGUUAUGGUGGGGACUCAGUGGAGACCGCCGGGGUCAACUCGGAGGAAGGUGGGGAUGACGUCAAGUCAUCAUGCCCCUUAUGUCCAGGGCUUCACGCAUGCUACAAUGGCUGGUACAGAGAGUGGCGAGCCUGUGAGGGUGAGCGAAUCUCGGAAAGCCGGUCUCAGUUCGGAUUGGGGUCUGCAACUCGACCUCAUGAAGUCGGAGUCGCUAGUAAUCGCAGAUCAGCAACGCUGCGGUGAAUACGUUCCCGGG